rnacentral:rRNA from 1 species
UACGUAGGGACCGAGCGUUGUCCGGAAUCAUUGGGCGUAAAGAGCGUGUAGGCGGCCAAUUAAGUCCUGCGUGAAAUCUCGGGGCUCAACCCCGGGCGGUCGUGGGAAACUGGUUGGCUAGAGUGCGGGAGAGGAGAGUGGAAUUCCUGGUGUAGCGGUGAAAUGCGCAGAUAUCAGGAAGAACACCCGUGGCGAAGGCGGCUCUCUGGAACGCAACUGACGCUGAGACGCGAAAGCGUGGGGAGCGAACAGG